rnacentral:rRNA from 1 species
AGAGUUUGAUCCUGGCUCAGGAUGAACGCUGGCGGUAUGCUUAACACAUGCAAGUCGAACGGUGUCUUCGGACACAGUGGCGGACGGGUGAGUAACGCGUGAGAAUCUGCCUCUAGGUUGGGGACAACAGUUGGAAACGACUGCUAAUACCCAAUGUGCCGUAAGGCGAAAGAUUUAUUGCCUGGAGAGGAGCUCGCGUCUGAUUAGCUAGUUGGUGGGGUAAAAGCUUACCAAGGCAUCGAUCAGUAGCUGGUCUGAGAGGAAGAGCAGCCACACUGGGACUGAGACACGGCCCAGACUCCUACGGGAGGCAGCAGUGGGGAAUUUUCCGCAAUGGGCGAAAGCCUGACGGAGCAAUACCGCGUGAGGGAGGAAGGCCUUUGGGUUGUAAACCUCUUUUCUCAGGGAAGAAGAUCUGACGGUACCUGAGGAAUAAGCAUCGGCUAACUCCGUGCCAGCAGCCGCGGUAAUACGGAGGAUGCAAGCGUUAUCCGGAAUCAUUGGGCGUAAAGCGUCCGCAGGUGGUUUUUCAAGUCUGCUGUUAAAGACUGGAGCUCAACUCCGGAAAGGCAGUGGAAACUGAGAAACUAGAGUUCGGUAGGGGUAGCGGGAAUUCCCAGUGUAGCGGUGAAAUGCGUAGAUAUUGGGAAGAACAUCGGUGGCGAAGGCGCGCUACUGGACCGAAACUGACACUCAGGGACGAAAGCUAGGGUAGCGAAAGGGAUUAGAUACCCCUGUAGUCCUAGCUGUAAACGAUGGAAACUAGGUGUGGCUUGUAUCGACCCGAGCCGUGCCGUAGCUAACGCGUUAAGUUUCCCGCCUGGGGAGUACGCACGCAAGUGUGAAACUCAAAGGAAUUGACGGGGGCCCGCACAAGCGGUGGAGUAUGUGGUUUAAUUCGAUGCAACGCGAAGAACCUUACCAGGGCUUGACAUGUCGCGAAUCUUGGUGAAAGCUGAGAGUGCCUUCGGGAGCGCGAACACAGGUGGUGCAUGGCUGUCGUCAGCUCGUGUCGUGAGAUGUUGGGUUAAGUCCCGCAACGAGCGCAACCCUCGUCUUUAGUUGCCAGCAUUAAGUUGGGCACUUUAGAGAGACUGCCGGUGACAAACCGGAGGAAGGUGGGGAUGACGUCAAGUCAGCAUGCCCCUUACGCCCUGGGCUACACACGUACUACAAUGGUUGGGACAAAGGGCAGCAAACCCGCGAGGGUAAGCGAAUCUCAUCAAACCCAGCCUCAGUUCAGAUUGCAGUCUGCAACUCGCCUGCAUGAAGGAGGAAUCGCUAGUAAUCGCAGGUCAGCAUACUGCGGUGAAUUCGUUCCCGGGCCUUGUACACACCGCCCGUCACACCAUGGAAGCUGGUCACGCCCGAAGUAGUUACCCUAACCUUUCGGGGGGGGGGACUCCUAAGGCAGGGCUAGUGUCU